rnacentral:rRNA from 1 species
AUUGAACGCUGGCGGCAGGCCUAACACAUGCAAGUCGAGCGGAUGAAGGGAGCUUGAUCCUGGAUUCAGCGGCGGACGGGUGAGUAAUGCCUAGGAAUCUGCCUGGUAGUGGGGGAUAACGUCCGGAAACGGGCGCUAAUACCGCAUACGUCCUGAGGGAGAAAGUGGGGGAUCUUCGGACCUCACGCUCUCAGAUGAGCCUAGGUCGGAUUAGCUAGUUGGUGGGGUAAAGGCCUACCAAGGCGACGAUCCGUAACUGGCCUGAGAGGAUGAUCAGUCACACUGGAACUGAGACACGGUCCAGACUCCUACGGGAGGCAGCAGUGGGGAAUAUUGGACAAAGGGCGAAAGCCUGAUCCAGCCAUGCCGCGUGUGUGAAGAAGGUCUUCGGAUUGUAAAGCACUUUAAGUUGGGAGGAAGGGCAGUAAGUUAAUACCUUGCUGUUUUGACGUUACCAACAGAAUAAGCACCGGCUAACUUCGUG